rnacentral:misc_RNA from 1 species
GAUGAAGAACGUAGCGAAAUGCGAUAAGUAAUGUGAAUUGCAGAAUUCAGUGAAUCAUCGAAUCUUUGAACGCACAUUGCGCCCGCCAGUAUUCUGGCGGGCAUGCCUGUUCGAGCGUCAUUUCAACCAUCAAGCCCCCGGCUUGUGUUGGGGACCUGCGGCUGCCGCAGGCCCUGAAAACCAGUGGCGGGCUCGCUAGUCACUCCGAGCGUAGUAGCAUACAUCUCGCUCUGGGCGUGCUGCGGGUUCCGGCCGUUAAACCACCUUCAUAACCCAAGGUUGACCUCGGAUCAGGUAGGAAGACCCGCUGAACUUAAGCAUAUCAAUAAGCGGAGGA